rnacentral:rRNA from 1 species
UUGCAAACUGGAGAUGGCGACCGGCGCACGGGUGAGUAACACGUAUCCAACCUGCCGAUAACUCGGGGAUAGCCUUUCGAAAGAAAGAUUAAUACCCGAUGGCAUAAUAGAACCGCAUGGUUUGAUUAUUAAAGAAUUUCGGUUAUCGAUGGGGAUGCGUUCCAUUAGGCAGUUGGUGGGGUAACGGCCCACCAAACCUUCGAUGGAUAGGGGUUCUGAGAGGAAGGUCCCCCACAUUGGAACUGAGACACGGUCCAAACUCCUACGGGAGGCAGCAUG